rnacentral:misc_RNA from 1 species
GAAAUGCGAUAAGUAAUGUGAAUUGCAGAGUUCAGUGAAUCAUCGAAUCUUUGAACGCACCUUGCGCUCCUUGGUAUUCCGAGGAGCAUGCCUGUUUGAGUGUCAUGGAAUUCUCAACUCUAUUUGCUUUUGUGAAUAGAGCUUGGAUUUGGAGGUUUAUUGCUGGUACUUGUGAUCGGCUCCUCUUGAAUGCAUUAGCUCGAACCUUUGCGGAUCAGCUAUCGGUGUGAUAAUUGUCUACGCCGUUGCAGUGAAGCAUAUCAAUGGGCUCGGCUUCCAAUCGUCCUUUACUGGACAAUGACUUUGACCUUUGACCUCAAAUCAGGUAGGAUUACCCGCUGAACUUAAGC